GGAUCUGCUAGAGAAUGAAGGGGAUUUACAAGAGUGGGGCUUUCCAAAACAUGUUGCUGUUUAGCUGGAAGGCUUAUGAUAGCCAAACCACAAAGUGUUCUCUAGAAAAAUAUGUCAAAAUUAUGUUCUCUUCUACUGCUAAGAGAAUAUAAUCUUUUCACUGUAUAACAACUGUUGAGUUCUGUUGCCGGUAGUAGGGAGAACAUUCAGAUCUACUACGCCUGAACUUUCUCUUCUAACAAUUCCGGGAAUACGAGUCACAAAGAUUCUCCAGCAGAACCCUGACUUGUUCAGCAAUUCCGUCUUCAUCUGGAAUUAACAUCCCAGUCUACCUGGGCCCCAAAUAUGUCUGUAACUCCCAUGAGAAGAUAAUCCUCUGAAAGGAAAAGAGAACACCUGUAUACCUUCUUUUCUUUCUUCUUCUCCCACCCAAGCAUCUACCACACUGCCAGAUAUGUAUGAUGUUACCCAAAGGAGUUCUACAGAUGUGGAUUUCUCAGAGAACCAAGAUGAGUGCAAGAAGCCAGGAACUGCGUCAUUCCUACAUCAUUAGAGUAUUCUCCUGUGUCACCUCCAGAGAAGAGGCUAUCAGAGCUUCCCUGGAAUAUGGACAUAAUAUUGAGUAUCUCAGAUUAUGUAGAUAUGGGUAACCAAACAGAAGGAGCCUGGAACCCUGUGGAGCCACCAUACCAGCCUUGGACUGCUCAAACAAGAUCAUCACGUGAGAAAGAGCCAACCCUCUAUCUUGUUAAACCCCUGUGUCACCUGGGUGACAGCUACAAUGGCUUUCUGUGCUCUGUCCCUCCCCAACCCUAUGCACUCUCUCACUCACCACAGCCAGCAAAUGUAGGUCUUUAUGGGAAGGCUAUUCUCGGGCUGCCAGCACUUCCGAUCACUUAUGCACCCCUCCCCAUGGACAGCAGUCCUUAUGCAAUGACUGAUGGGGCCAGCAGUAUUACAAAGGCUUUACCUUCUUAUCUUGUUCUUGAUUGUGACAGCUGUCAGGAAUAAGCUCCAGAACUCCCCUGCAGGACUGAGCCAACAGUGUCCUCCCCGAGAUCUUGCUUGAUCCUUGCUGCACCCUUGCUUGGCCUCCAGUCCCCUUCCCUCUUCUCAGACCCACUUCCUCACCCCUACCAAGUUUCCCUGAAAUUCUUCCUAGUAAGUCACUGCCCCCAUGAAAUCUCAUCCCGUGUUCUAUUUCCAGGGACCCAAACCUGAGAUAGGAUAUAUCUCACUGGAUAUAUCCAACGAGCACCAUCCCAUUCCCUAGGGUUCCUCACAGUUAUUACACCUGUACACCCUGCCAAACCUUGCCCUGUGCAAAAUCAAAUAGACGGUGACUCUCUUAAAUCAAAAUGGAAUUAUAGGGUAUACCACAUACCUCACCUUUUUCACUUAAAACAGUUCAUGGACCAUAUUCCACGACUGUAGAAUAUACAUACACCUCAUUAUCAUUCAGGAUAUAUGGUUGCCUAUAAUUUGAAGUCAAAAUAAACAUCAAAAACAUUUGGUGGACACCUGGAUGGCUCAGUCAGAGGAGCUUGUGACUCCUGAUCUUGGGGUCAUGAGUUUGAGCCCCAUGUUGGGUGUAGAGAUUAAACAAACAAAC